rnacentral:tRNA from 1 species
AAAGACUUAGGAUAAUAAGACCAAAGGCCUUCAAAGUCUUAAGUAGGAGUUAAAACCUUCUAGUCUUUG